AAUUGUUAUUUUGGCAGAGUAGUGUAUUAAAUUUAGAAUUUAAAAAUGUAUUUAUAUACAAAUAAUAC
rnacentral:tRNA from 1 species